GAAAAUUUUAGUAAAUUAUAGUCAAUUUUUAUGCAAUGAAACUAUAUAGCUCUUUUUGUUAGAAAUUGUCUUACUAACUAAGCUGCUGGUGGUUCUGUGACGAAGUAGCUCCUGUUGGCUUCCCUUACACCGGGUCAGACACAGGACAUUAAUUAAGGCUGUGUGUGGUGUUUCUGAAAGGUGAGGAGACUGGGCAUUCUGUCUUUUACUCUACAGAUACAUCGUGGGAGACUCAAAGAUUAAAAUGUGGCCACUCACUGUGGAUCAGAAGCAGAAUCUCACAUCAUAACCCCAAAUGACCUGUUACUCACCAUGUGGCCCAGCUGUCUUCAAACUCACCAGCCUCCUGCCUUAGCCUUCUAAAUGCUUGGAUUACAGGCAUGACCCACCAUAACUGGCUUUGUUUUAGUUUCAGAGAAGAUGAAACUGAUGUGCGUCAAAAAGCUGGUAGUCUGUCAAGGAAAUGAGCUGAACAUGUCUGUGUACAGCUUUUGUGCCAUCCCUGGAUGAGCGAGCUGUCUGCCUCUAUGUUCUCCACAAAAUGGAAUAUAGCUGUACACCCAAGCCAAGUUAUGGAGGCUGGGAAGACCUAGAAUGUGGCAUCACUAUUUGGUAAGAACCUUCCUAUGUCAUUGUAGAGUGAGGGACUUGGGUACCACAUGGCAAGGCAUAGUACCCAAAUCCCUUUCCUUCAUAAAAGUAUUAAUGUCAUCAAAGAGGCCCCACCACCAUGAUGCCAUCUGGGGCCUCAUGACCCCAAUGCCUGAUGCCAAAGACUCCCACCUCAAAAUACUUUUUUCUUCAGCAUAACAUUUUAUUAAUUAUCUGGGAAUUUCACAUCAUGUACUCCAAUCACACUCAGUUCCCAGUCCUUCCAUGUCAGCCCCCACCCUUGUUACUUGCCCCCCAAAAGAGGAAAAUUAAAACUAAGAAUUAAAAAAAAUUAAAAAAAUUAAAAUACACAAGUCCAAUUUAUGUUACCUAUAUACUCACUGAAGCAUGGUCAGAUUCUCAGUGGCCUGGCCCUUAAAUAGAAGUGAGUCUUCCCCCUCCUGCAUCUGAAGCCAUUAAUUGCGUAGAGCUACACUUCAACAUCUACAUCACACUUUCAAAGAGUUCUCUUCAGUGGAUUCCUGUUCUAGACCAUUACUUUGGAGACAGGGGUAGGGGAUUGUCACAAAAAGCCUUCCAUGUCCCUUCGUCUCAGUUGUACACCUGCAGUCAUCAAUAUCCCAGUGUAACUAGUCCCCUUGUUCUUCAUAGUUAGUGGAAACAUGGAUCAUGGGCCUCUCAAGGUUUCUGAUAACAUCCCAGACCAUGAACAUGGCCCUCAGGUGCAGGAGGACCACAGAUCCAGACAAAGACCAGAUCACAGCCAUAAAAAUAGCCUCAGGUGGCAGCAAAGGCCACUCAGAUUAGUAUGGCCUUUGGUGGCAGCACUAUCCAUAAACAUCAACGUAGCUUCAGGCAGCAGCACAGACUGUGAACAUCUCAUGGUCUUCAGUGGUAACACAAGCCAUGGAUAUCUACCUACAGCAGAACCAUAUAUAGAUUUGAUAAGUUUCCACACAUGAACCCAGGACACAUUUAAAUCAUGGCAGUCUACAUCCUGAUCCUUCCCUUGUC
rnacentral:lncRNA from 1 species